rnacentral:tRNA from 1 species
GCCCGUUUGGUGGAAUGGUAGACACAGCAGACUUAAGAUCUGCGGACCGCAAGGUCUUACUGGUUCAAGUCCAGUAUCGGGUA